GGAUUGGACGACGUUGAAAUCGCUAAUAAAGAAAAUGCUUUCUCUUCAUGCUUUUACUGAUACGCCAAUUAUUUGAUGUGGUCUUAUCUUGUUUGUGUGUCUGGAUCAUUCAUUAAAAGUGGGUUCUGUGUUCUCAGGGCCUGUGUGAGGACACGAGACACUGGUUCACAACGUGGGGACGACUGGAGACCCGACCAGAAACCCGGUGAGCGCGCUUCAACUUCAUGACCUUUUCCUUUGGUGAUGGUCAUCCAAUCCCUUCGCCGACUCCACCAUUUUGGAACUUUUUCAGCCAUAUUUUUUCAGCUCAUUCGGGUUUCAUCUCUUGACCCGAGUGAGGAGCUGCAGCAGUUUUUGACUCCUAACUGGUGACUCGUUUCGAGUGCUUCUGACCCCCUUUCACACCCCUUAGAACUCGCUGUGGUUUUUCAUCCAACAUUUUAAACUUUUAAAAGUUUGUGGUCGCAUGUCAGCCGCCUUUUUCCAGCACCAGCUGUGUUUUCUUGGUGAACAUCGUGUUGAUGCUGGAAAGUGAUGAGGUGAAGUGAGAAUGAGUGAAUGUGUGCUGAUGAAGAUACAAGUUGUUGUGUUGUGUGUGAAGUUUAAUCAUCAUGGUUUGUUCCUGAACUGACAAAGUUCCUCAUGUAAUAUUGUGACGUGUAACCUUUGAGAAAAACAACCAACCAAUAACGUGUGAAUCCGAUGGAAUGAUCGGUGAAGGUGGGCCGGCGGACAGAACGACGUGACUCUCUUUGGUUUGGAUCCCGUACUGUGGAUUCGGCUCGUGGGGAUAAAACAUUUAUUAUUUAUUUGAAGCUGAUUACGACGCUCACGCGAGGUUCGUCUAGACGUCAGAGUCGGACUCUUUUGGAUUUGACCCAUAACUGCAGCGGGAUCCACAAUCACCCGCCAAUCUUUCUUUUCUCGCACUUUAAUACCCAGAAUGUGAGUUCCUGCGAUGUGAUGUCAGUCGGUCACCAAAGAACUGCCAAAGCGAACUCAUUCUAGCUCGAUUUCCUUCGCGUCCACCUGCAUGUGAUUUUGGGGGGGACAGCUCUGAGCGCCGUAUCGAUUGACCUCGGCGCCCGCUUGCGUCCGGCGACGGCGCAGAGCUCGAGGGCCACCAGCGUUUAGAGAUCCUCACAAGCCUGUCAACUAAAAAAAAGAAACACAACGAGACCACAAAGUCCUCCAUUGGGUGUUUUUUUUCCUGCCUAAAUGGGCGGCGCGGCGGCGGAGUGCACGCUUCUGGUGAGCUGCGAGGAGGCGUGCGGGACGGACGAAGGCUUCGGCGUCCGCGGCUCGGUGCACCCGCGGGUCCAAGGAACCGCCGCUCUGCAGCCGAGCCGAAUAAAGAUCGGUAUUCGCUUUGGCUUUUUUUCUGCAGUCGCAUGGAAGCCUUCCAAGAAAUGUGUGUGCGUGUGUUUCUGAGCACGCACACCGGCCCAGUCUGUGUGCGACGCUCCGGGAGACGAGUGUGUGUGUGUGUGUGUGUGUGUGGCUAUACCUGGACUGUCUCCUGCUUUGUGGAGAGGAAAGGAGGGGGGGAGAAGGAGUGGGAGGAGAGGGAGGAGAGGGAGGAGAGGUUCAGGGGUGACAGGAGGAUGGCUUCAUGGCUGCAUUUUCCCUCCUCUGAAUUUCCACACUCGGCUUUUCCUGCGUUCUUUGCGUCGCCUCGCUGAGCGCGGAGACUUACAAACACUCGGAACACUUUCUUUCCUUUUCAGCGACUGGUGGCCGUUUCUUUCUGGAUCUCCGUCCGGCUCACAGAUGUUGUCUGUCGCGUCCUCGUUGUGCUUAUUUAGACUUUUCGUUUCCCAGCGAGCGGAAUUGAAGCAAAAUUGUAUUUUGUAAAGUUUUUUUUUUUAAUCGUUUACUUUACCCCUCCCUCCCCCUCCCCCCUUUCCCUUCCACCAACAUCUCUCCCUCUUUUUCGUCUUUUGUCUCACUCCUUCCCACCCUGCCGGGGCGGUCCUGAUACUCUACCCGUGUUAUUUUGGUGUGUUUUUGACGGCCGCGGUGGACUCGAUCCUCCGGCCUGAAGGCCGCCGAGCCCAGAGAGGAGCCCCGCGAGGGGGAAGGAGAGGUGAGUCCUCGGCCCACAAAGGUGCUCCCCGCUUUCUGCUCCUCUCCGUACGGGUGUCGGCCGCGUGGUGUUCUCUGUGCGGGGGGCCGGGGGGGGGGGGGGGGGCUUACAAAUUAAAAUGCUACCUGUUGGCUAGCCGGCCGCUAUCUGUUUACACGGCGUAACAUAACAAAGUGCUAACGACACGCCACUUCCUCACCUUUCACCUCCUCACCUCUGUUGAACCUCCGACUCCCCCCCUCCCCCUUUUCUGCACACCUCUGUUGCCGGGUAGAGUUUGUGGUGCCGCCGGGUUUGCCUGCUAGCGCCUAACAACAAUGCAGGUGGCGGCCUUGUAGCUGGUCAGCUGGGUUUGGUCUGUGGACUCACACACACACACACACACACACACGCACACACACACACACACACACACACACACACACACACACACACGCACACACACACGCACACACACACGCGCACACACACACGCACACACACACGCACACACACACGCACACACACGCACACACACGCGCACACACACACGCACACACACACGCACACACACACACACGCACACACACACGCACACACACACGCACACACACACACACACACACACACACACACACGCACACACACACUGGGGGGCAGUUUGACAAGUUUUCACGCUAUAAUCUGUGUGUUAUUAUCUUACCUCAUAAUAAUUCCUGAUGCUUAAUAACAGUCAGCAUAUUGUUAUGCAGACUUUUUCUUUAUCUUCUUUUUGGUCACAAUUCUGAUAGUUGCAAUAAAUUAUAAUCUCCAGUAUUACAAUAUAAUCGCUGCUGUGAUACAUUCAAAUGUGAUUAAAUGAGCUAAAUAUGUGUGAGAAAACAUCUAAACAAAAUAUUUUUGAAAGAAAAACAUGCAAAACGUAAAUCAGUCAGCACUAAAGUGUAUUAUUAUAAGAAUUAAUAGUGAUUAACUGACACUUGAUUGAGCGAUAUAUAAAAUAUAUAAACAAGCUAUAAGCGCAUUACAUGAGUACCUUUAGAAUGUAUUAUUGGUUCUAUGGAUUCAUACAUUUAAAAUAUGUCAAUUAUUAUAGCGCAUAGUUUAGUAAAUGCAUCCAACGUAUUUCUUUUAGGACUGUUCAUAUAUUUUAUGCAUGAGUCUUUAAAUAUCCACAUCUGCUGAGAGCUGAUUUCUAUUAUGAACUUUUUACAUCGUGUCUCGUUGGAGCUGAAGCUCCUCCCCCCCGUAGUGAGCGUUGGCACGGCAACAGCAACCUGCAGGUCAACAACGCGGCCCAAACGUGGGGUUCAAUAGGUGCUCGCAGACGCCGCAAUGCAUUCUGGGAUCAGCGCCCAAGAAUGUUUUGUAUUCAUCAUAAAAUUCAUUACAAUUAAAUGGCAACAGCUUGUUUUCAGCCAUAAGUUAACGUUUUCCCCUGAGAUUAAAUAUCCCUCCAGAAAGAGAGGUACUAUAUACAUACAACUUCACACAUACGUAUAUAUCCAUGUAUAUGAAUAUCUAUUUAUAUAUAUAGAUAUAUAUGUAUUUCUGAUGGAGGUGUGAGGUCUUCUGCUCACGGCCUCGAACCCGUAGAUCCGAACUUGUGUGAACUGACAUCACAAGCUUGUGUCUGCGGGUCUGCGUCCGCGCGGCGCCGAUCGACUCUCAGAACGCGCCCAUCAACGCCACCGCCACGGAGUCAGAGGGGCAGGUCGGGCUUGGUCACAGCCACACAGCCUCGGCGCGUUAACGAAGUAGACCAAGUACACGAGGUCUGUUCCUUUAAGGGAGGAGGCCUGAUCAACCUUUUGGGAGGGGGAGGCUGUUUUUGGGGUCAGUGGAGUUAAACGAGUUUGGAGUUAAGGUGUUAACACAGCGGAGGAGAGAAGCCCGACGCUACAGAAGACAUUUUAUUGACUUUGAAUUUGUGCUCUCGCAGUCUACAUGGUAGUGCUUUUAUUGUGAAAGGUAAGAACAGAAAGUGAAAGGUCAACAGAAACAAUAAAGUUUGGUCUUGACUGCGAAGCGUCUGCCCGGCGUGACGAUGCCUUCAGGUGUUUUUUGAAAACUGAAAUAACGCCACUUAUGCUGAAAGAAACGUCAGUUUUAUUUGCAGCGCACAGUUCUGUGAAAUAGAUGAUUGUUUGAGUGAGACGCGAUAGAAAACUCCCCCCGACUCCCCCCCUCAGGGGUCUGCUUGCUCCCAGGUUGAGGUAGUAGGUUGUAUAGUUGAGAAUUACACCACGGGAGAUAACUGUACAACCUCCUAGCUUUCCCUGAGGUACGCACGGCGCUCUGCACAGCUGGAGACCUCCUAGAGACGUGUUGUACUUCAUGGUUUGGGGAUAAAUAUAUAUAUAUGUGUAUAUAUAUAUAUAUAUAUAUAUAUAUAUAUACAAAAUAUAUAUUUAAACAUAUACGUGUGUAUAAAAAAUAUAUAUUCUACAGUAAAAUCAGCUGUUGCCUUCGAACAAUUGUUGUCACAAUAUUUAACAGUUUGAAAUAUUGUGACACUUCAGGGAGGAAAAAAAAUCGGAUGAAUUUACAGCAGGACAUUUUUUAUUUAUUAGCUUCUAAAAUAAAGUUGUAUUUGUACUGACAUCGAUGAUAGCAGCCAAUCAAUCAGAACUCCCCUCAAAGAGACACAGUGUGUUCAUAGUGACACUGCGUGUGUGUGUGUGUGUGUGUGUGUGUGUCUGACAUCGCCCCCUGCUGGUUCUGGCUGUCAGAGGCUCCUUUAGAGACUUUGGCUCACGAGGGCGAUACGAAGCGAUUUCUCUCCUGAAGUGAGACGUGUGAUGCUUGUGUGUAUUUACAACAACUGUGUGUGUGUGUGUGUGUGUGUGUGGGGGGGGGGGGGGGGGGGGGGGGGGGGAGGUGGUCAAACAUGAUGCAUCAAUGCUACAGUCCAAUCAGUCGUCACAGGAAACAGAAAGUUUGGUUUAAUAAAAGAAGGUAGUAGAGAAACAGCGACUCCUGCUACCACACCAACGGACAAAGGACGCUUCCGUUUCUGUUCUGGGACACAGACACACACACACACACACACACACAGACACACACAGAGACGGAGGUUACGGAAACUAAAAAGUAAUCACAACCAAUACAACCGCU
ensembl:lncRNA